UACGGCGGUCAUAGCGAAGCGGGAAACGCCCGGACACAUUCCGAACCCGGAAGCUAAGCCCUUCAGCGCCGAUGGUACUGCACUGGUGACGGUGUGGGAGAGUAGGACACCGCCGGAC
rfam:Luteipulveratus mongoliensis strain MN07-A0370 genome.